rnacentral:lncRNA from 1 species
CAACUCAGCAGGCAGCUUGGGAUAAGAAAGGUCUCAUCUUUGCCCCGUGAAGACAAAAACCUCUAAGGAAGUUAGGUCGAUACGUGUGAAUUUUCCAGAGGGUGGAAUCCUGCAUUUUUAUAGUGUCGAUCUGCUUUGGGCGAGGGACUAGUUCUGGCUGAUGCUGAGAAGGUUGUUGGAGAAGAUCAGACAUCCUUCACCCUGUGGCUUCAGUAGCCUGAAGGUCUCCCCUACUCCUAGACAGCUACUGCUGAGCCGCUCCUGCGUGACUCCUGCAGCCUUUCGAGGCCUGAGUAACCAAUUCCGGUCCUGUUAGCUCCACUGCAGAUUCGGAAAGGUGUUUCUGAUUUCCGGACUGAGCCCUGACCAGUGAGUGCAUUUUGUUCAAACCAUACAGACUCUUAGAAGACAGAAGGGAAAUACCUGACUGGGGACCCGUGAGACCGCGAUUGCUCCUACGGGUCUCAGUGAACAAGGAUUAGUAAACUUCCCAUUGGCAAAACAUUGGACUAAAUUCUAACGAAGAACAACAGAGAGCGUAAAGAUUGU